UUUAACAACUUGUAACAACCUUGUUGAUAUUAUCAGAUUUUUUGCAAGAUUGUUCUAACAAGUCCGAUACAGUCAUGAUAUAACAAUAUUGUUACAACCUUGUGUCGUCAACCUUGUAACAUUCUUGUUAUAUCAGCCUUGUAACAAGUCUGAUAGUGCCAUCAAGCUUGUUACAAGUUGUUAAC